rnacentral:miRNA from 1 species
ACCCUUGAGCCUGAUCCCUAGC